CUGCAUUGGAGUGUAAUUUGAUAUCUGGGAGGGGACAGUGUCCCUGCAAUAGAAAUACCAGCUCCCACUUACUAAGCACCUGCCGAUUUCCAUGGGAAAUGAUUUUAGAAGCUUGGUGUCCCCCAUAAUCCUGGGGGAGGGGCACCAAAAGAGGAUCGGCGCCUACUUUACAAAUGAGGAAACAAUUUCUCUGACUUUAAUUCUACAAGAUAUUCUCCUAACAGCCUAAAGACUGGGGUCAGAGAAUAUCUGGAAGGGCAGGGGCUUGGUGUGGGCCUGGGGAGGGACGCCCAGGCCCGCCCUCUUUCCCCCAGGGGUGGACAGCACCACAGGCUUCGGGGGGUCAUCGCCGCAGCGCUGUUUGCCUCCUGUCUGUGGGGAGCCUUGAUCUUCACGCUUCACCUGGCCCUGAGGCUGCUUCUGUCCUACCACGGCUGGCUCCUUGAACCCCACGGAGCCCUGUCCUCACCCACUAAGACCUGGCUGGCCCUGGUCCGCAUCUUCUCCGGCCGCCACCCAAUGCUCUUCAGUUACCAGCGCUCCCUGCCUUGCCAGCCCGUGCCCUCCGUUCGGGACACCGUGCGCAAGUACCUGGAGUCCGUCCGGCCCGUCCUUUCCGACGAGGACUUCGACUGGACGGCCGCCCUAGCGCAGGAAUUCCUGAGGCUGCAGGCGUCGCUGCUGCAGUGGUACCUGCGGCUCAAGUUCUGGUUGGCUUCC